GCCAAGGGCAAAUGGGGAGCUGGGGGGCCCAGGUCUCAGCUGGAGGGACCCCAGAUCAUGGAGCAUGCAUCAUGGCUCUUCUGUUGCUGCCCUCUUUGCCUACUGUCUCUUCUCCAGACAUGCCUGCUCCAGUCACUGCCAGACAUGCCUUGGGAUUGUUGCCUCUUGGGGAAGUGCUAGUCUGACUGGUUGUCAGGAACUCCAUAUUUCUGCCCUGACUCAGUCCCUAAUUUGCUCUUUGAUUCUGGACAAGCCACCUCUCCUCCUUGGGCUUGCGUUUCUCAAGGAGGUGGAGAGUAUCAAAAGUCUCUGCUAGCUCUGAGAGUCCAAGAUUUAAAGGUCUACUAGAAUGUAAACCUCAGGGCCAAGGGAUCCUGUCUGAAUCUAUAGGAUUCUUUUCCAUCCUAUAUCCCUGCUAUGAAGAAUUGUACCUGGCCCGUAUGUGCUUAGCCAAUGUUGAAUGAAUGCACUUUCUAAAUCACAAGCUGGCAGAAUGGUGGGCUUUUCUCAGACUCCAUCUAUAGACGUCACUGGUAGAAGGUCGUGACUACAAGUUGUCCAGGUUCUUGGAAUUUUGAACAAAGAAUUGGACAAAACGCCUAGCAAAUCAAAGAAAGAAUGAAGCAACAAAAGAACCAAAGCAGGAAUUUAUUGAAAACAAAAGUACACUCCACAGUGUGGGAGUGGGCCUGAGCAGCAGCUCAGGGGCCUGGAUACAGAAUCUUCCUGGUCCAAAUACCCACCAGAAUUUUCCCAUCGGCCACUUCAUGCUCACCUCAUGUAACUGAAAUGGUAGCCGCAAUCAGUCUGAUUGGUUGCAGAAAGCAGCCAACCAGAGGCUGAAGUGAAGUUACAAAAGUCACACUCCUGUGCAAACAAUCUGAUGAGUUGCAAAAAGCAACCAAUCAGAGGCUAGGAUGAAGUUACAAAGUUAUACUUCUUUGCAAAUGAAGACUUGACCAGCAAUCAGUCUUACUUGUUGCAGACAGCCAAUUUCCCAUCUGCCUCACAGAAAAGGUCAGAGGUAGUAGCCUCUGGUUCUUUGUUACUUAGACAUGGAAAGUUAGGGUUUUCUUUUCAUUUUGGUUCUAGGAAGUCAGAGCGAAAGAGCCUUAGGUUCCCUGCCUCCAGACCCUAUUUUCCUGCCUCAUAGAGGUUUAUGUCACUGUCCUUUUGAGAGAAUCCAGAUUCAGACUUUCAGUUCUGUGGCUGUGGGCCAAAACCAACAAAGACCCAAAUCCUCUGUCCUUGGGAGCUUGAGGAGAGUUUACCAGUUCAUGAUCCUAGUGGGUCUGAGAACUUUGCCUUUAAAAUCCACUCCUGGCCCCUGCCUACUGCUUCAUGGCCUGGGGAAUAGAGUGGAGGGGGCCACCCUUGGUCACCUUCCUUUGACUCUCCCAAGGAAACAGCACAACCAAGAAAUUGUGGAUCAACUAGAAUCACACUAGUAAUGUAAUUUCUUUGCUCACAGCAUGACUGCUGGGUUUGGGGGGCACUCAGAUGUAGAGGUGCUAGUCUCGUCUUGCUGACCCCCAGCCUGGGAAGAAGGCUCACCCCCCAGGUUCCACCUCAUCCCCACAGGGUCCCUGAUAACCUGGUCCCAUGGGUGGGCCUGUCCUGGGGCAUUGGUGGAAUUCUGGGGGCAUGUCUUUGCUGUGCCAUCUCUGCCUCCCCCUAGUAAGAGCUCUGUCUUCCUCUUCCUAUAGGAAAAGCAAGAAAGCCAGCAAAACCAGGGAACCCUAAAGAGGCAGUUAGAGGUGAGUGGAGGGUGUGAAGUUCCCUCCUGUCCUCUGGAGAAUGUUGCUUUCCUUCUCUUUCAGCACUUGCUUGGCUUUUCUCCCAAAGGUUCAAAUUCAGAGAACCAACAAACUGAUGUCUGAGAAAGGAAAAUUAAAUACUGAACUGUAUCAUAUGCAACGUGCUGCCAGGCACUUUGAAGGUGGGAAUCUGGGCACCCUGUCAUCCUUCAACCUGGUGCUUUGAUAGGCCUUUGGACCCCAUCUCAACCUCUCUCAUUUCAGGAGAGUCCAUGGAUCUGGCCAGCGGCCUGCAGUAUUCCCAGCAGUGUGUGGGAGAGUUGUAAUGGACUCUUUGCUGUCUCCAUGCAGCAGAAGAACAUGGACAGUCUUGGUCUGGAGACUGCCUUAGACCCUCCGAUGAAUCUAUUCAAACAGCUGCCUCUGUUACCUUGACUCGUCUCAGAUUCCGUCGACCCGAGACAAGGAAUAUAAGACUGUCUCUAUUAUUUUGACUUGCUCCAGGUUAGGGAGAAGCCUAUGCAAGGGUCCUACUGACCAUAUGUUUCAUUUUUAGCUUUGAUACCUGGGCACGGAUUUCCCUAGGUUUAACUAUUUGCUCAAUGUUAAGGCAGCUCUGUGGAAAUUUGUUUGUAUAACUGGAGUGCGGUGCAGGGCUCUCUGUGUGACUGUCAUGAAGGCCUGUCUGUGUGACUAUCAGGGAGAAUUGGCCUGCCACAAAAGGAUUCAUACAAAACUCAGGAGAGAGAAACAGGGUGGCUGGGAGAUAUUUCACUUCUGUACCUUCUGAGUUUGGGACUAUGUGAAUUUAUCAUUCUUUCAAAAAGUGAACAAAAAGUUAAUUUCCUCCUUCCUUUCUGUGUCCCGACCCCCAGUGAAAAAAAGGGUUAGAGAAUCAGAUAUACCUGGGUGUUCAAAUCCCAGCUCUGUCUGAGUGAUCUUAGGCAAGCAAU
rnacentral:lncRNA from 1 species